rnacentral:rRNA from 1 species
UACCUGCAGCUCAAGUGGUGACCACUAUUAUUGGGCCUAAAACGUUCGUAGCCGGUUUAUUAAAUGCUUGGGUAAAUCGUGUAGCUUAACUAUACGAAUUCCGGGUAGACUGAUAGACUUGAGACCGGGAGAAGCUAGAGGUACUCCUGGGGUAGAGGUGAAAUUCUGUAAUCCUGGGGGGACCACCAGUGGCGAAGGCGUCUAGCUAGAACGGGUCUGACGGUGAGGAACGAAGCCCUGGGGCGCAAACCGGAUUAGAUACCCGGGUAGUCCAGGGUGUAAACGCUGCUUGCUUGAUGUUAGCUGGGCUCCGAGCCCAAUUAGUGUCGGAGAGAAGUUGUUAAGCAAGCUGCCUGGGAAGUACGAUCGCAAGAUUGAAACUUAAAGGAAUUGGCGGGGGAGCACAGCAACGGGUGGAGCGUGCGGUUU